CAUCAGAGCGAUAUGGAAACCCACAGGAGGAUUUUGACUACAGAAAGGACGAGUAAUCCAUGUGGCCAAAUUCAAAGUCAGAUAUCAAGAAACGUAUUCUACUUCUUUAAUGAGAACUACAAAAUCGUAUAGCAAAUGGAGGGAGAAGUGAAUAACUGGGACCCUUAAGAGUUACAGUGAGAGAGAGAGACAGAGAGAAAGAUCUUCCUUCUGUAAGUUCACCCCAAAACGGCCGCUAUGGUUGGAGCUAUGCUGAUCUGAAGCUAGGAGCCAAGUGCUUCCUCCUGGUCUCCAAUGCGGGUGCAGGGCCCAAGCACUUGGGCCAUCCUCCACUGCCUUCCCAGGCCACAGCAGAGAGCUGGACUGGAAGAGGAGCAACCAGGACUAGAACCCGGAGACCAUAUGAGAUGCUGGCGCUGCAGGCGGAAGAUUAACCAAGUGAGCCAUGGCACUGGCCCGACCCUGGUGUUUUUCAUCAACUCCACCCACAUGCCCAGGAUAUACUGGAACAGAAUAAUCCUCAUCAGUGUAUUGCUCAAAUUCUGACCUUUAAAACAUCUGGAACAAAGACUUCCUGUAUUCUAUUUCUUCAUUCUUCUCAGGAAUAGCAAUCUAUUUCUAUGUAAUGCUGUUGUCACAUUCCAUGCCCAUCAAACAAUUUCUGAGGAUGAGACUGAUUUAAGCCCCCCAAAUGACUCUACAAGGCAGCCAGAGUUAAGAACCACUGAUCUAGAAAAGCAACAUGAAACAUAGCAGAAAGGGGCUGACUUGGAUUCUCCAAGUCCAAGAUGCAUAUUUACUUCUCAGAAAUAAAUAUAGCUUAAAUACAUUUCUUUUUUUUUUUUUUUUUGACAGGCAGAGUGGACAGUGAGAGAGAGAGACAGAGAGAAAGGUCUUCCUUUGCCGUUGGUUCACCCUCCAAUGGCCGCCAUGGCCUGUGCGCUGCGGCCUGCGCACCACGCUGAUCCAAUGGCAGGAGCCAGGUGCUUCUCCUGGUCUCCCAUGGGUGCAGGGCCCAAGCACUUGGGCCAUCCUCCACUGCACUCCCUGGCCACAGCAGAGAGCGGGCCUGGAAGAGGGGCAAUUGGGACAGAAUCCGGCGUCCCGACCGGGACUAGAACCUGGUGUGCCGGCGCCGCAAGGCGGAGGAUUAACCCAGUGAGCUGCGGCGCCGGCCCCGUGCUGCUCCCUUUAAAAAUAUUUUUAAAGUAGAACUCACAAAACAUGAAAUAAACAAAGUAUUUUGAUGUUUACCAUUCAAUGGCUUUGGUAUACACAGUGUUGUGACACCAUUGCCUUUAUACAGUUAGAUCUUCAUCACUCCCAAAGGAAAGCUGUUAUCCACUAAGCAGUCUGAUUCCCUUCAGACCACAUGCUGAUCACGUUAGCUGUUCCUGUGGAACAAAUACCUCUGAAGCACAGCAUCUUUAACCAACAACCAUCUCAUCUCAUGAUUUCUGGGAGGUCUGCAAUCCCCACGUGGCUUAGACCUCAGCCCACGGCUCUCACAUGACUGCCAUCAACGUGUCACGGGGCUACUGCCUUGUCAGUACUUGAUGAGGAAUGCUUAUGUACAUAGACCUGGGCCUGAUUCAUUCAUUUACAAGCUGCUGCACUGAGAGCCUUGGUUUCUCACUGCUUGGCUUUUUCCACAAGGAAGCCCAUAUCAGGGCAGCAGCUCCAUCAGAACAAAUGAAUGAAAGAACAUUGGUGGGGGUAGGGGUAAGGGGUGGAGGGCCCCAGCACAAUGCAAAUGAGAGCUUUUUGUAACUCAUCUUGGAAGUGACACCUAUCAUUUUUGCCAUAUUCUGUUUGUAAGAAGCAAUCACUGAGUCCAAUACACACUCAAGAGGGGGUGACUGCACACGGACGGGUGUGAGGUGAUACGAGCCUGUCAGGAAGCAGAGUCAUGUGGGGACAUCUCAGACACGGCCUCCUAUGCAUCCACAGGGCAUUCUGCAAACAUUUUUUCUUAUUUGGAAGUGAUGGCAAUUUGAGGAGCUUGUAUCCAAUUUUGAGUAAACAUUGGUAAUUAGAGGGUGGCUUUAUUUUUCUUGUUACACAUUUCAAAGGAUUUACAUUAAUUUAAGGGAUAGAAAACUUAUACAGGCAAAACUCCUAACAAUUAAGACAGAAUAAAAUAAGGAUUUGAAUAUAUGUGCAAAGCAUGUGGAAAUACAUAUAACACUGAAUCAUAAUAAUAAUCCUAUGUAUAAACAUAGGCACCCUAAAUCCAUAUCCUAUUUAUUAAAUACUGUGCAAAAUUAUAUUGACCAGUAAGAUGGGGGAAAUGCCAAUAUUGACUGUAGCUAUUAAGGAGGAAGUAAACUUUAAAAAAAACCUUAAUUUUUUUUUAGGGCUUGGCAUCAACUUUUUUGUAACUUUUAUCUAGUAAAUAUAAAUUUCCAAAGUACAGUUUAUGGAUUACAAUGGCCUCCCCCCCCCCAUAAUUUCCCUCCCACUCACACCCCUCCCAUCUCCCACUCCCUCUCCCAUUCCAUUCACAUCAAGAUUCAUUUUCAAUUAUCUUUAUAUACAGAAGAUCAAUUCAGUAUAUAUUAAGUAAAGAUUUCAUCAGUUUGCACCCACACAGAAACACAUAGUGUAAAAUACUGUUUCAGUACUAGUUAUAGCAUUACUUCACAUUGGACAACACAUUAAGGACAGAUCCCACAUGAGGAGUAAGUACACAGUGACUCCUGUUGUUGACUUAACAAUUUGACACUCUUGUUUAUGGUGUCAGAAAUCUCCCUAGGCUCUAGUCAUGAGUUGCCAAAGCUAUGGAAGCCUUUUGAGUUCGCUGACUUUGAUCUUAUUCAGACAGGGUCUUAGUCAAAGUGGAAGUUCUCUCCUCCCUUCAGAGAAAGGUACCUCCUUCUUUGAUGGCCCGUUCUUUCCACUGGGAUCUCACUAGUCCAGGUGAUCAAUUUCAGUUCAGAAUUGAUCACACUGAUAGUUCUAAGAGUCAAAGGGAUCACACAAACAAGACUAGUGUCUGCUAAUACUAACUGAUAGAAUCAAAAAUGGAGAGAACAAUCCAACAUGGGAAGUGGGAUACACAGCAGACUCAUAGAAUGGCAGAUGUCCUAAAUAGCACUCUGGCCUCAGAAUCAGCCCUUAAGGCAUUCGGAUAUGGCUGAAGAGCCCAUGAGAGUAUUUUAGGCAUGGAAAGUCAAGACACUCUGAAAAAAAAGAAAAAAAAAAAGAAGACCUAAAUGAAAGAUCUCUGCGAGUGAAAAAAACCUUAAUUUAAAGAGAAUGAACACCAUAAUGAUAUUUAAAACCAUGUUAUUUGACCAAUAGGAAUCAGAUGUUUAACAUGAAGGCAAAAAUAUUCUGGGUAAGUUGGAAACAAUUUCUUCUUAAGGCUUUUUUAUUUUUUUAUUUGAAAGGGAGAGUUAGAGAGAGAGAGAGAGAGAGAGAUCUUUCAUCCUCUGGUUCUCUUCCCAAAUGGCCACAAUGACCAAUGCUGUGCCAGGCCAAAGUUAAGAACCUCAAUCGAGUCUCCCACGUGGGUGACAGGAGCCCAAGUCCUUGGGCCAUCUUCCCCUAGUUUCCCAGGUACAUUAGCAGGGAGAUGGAUCAGAAGUAGAGCAGCCAGUAUUUGAGUUGGCACCCAUAUUGGAUGACAGUGUCACAGGCAACAGCUUACCCUGCUAUGUCACAACACUGGCCUGUUGACAACAGAUUUGACUCUGAUAUUUUUGUGUGCCUCUGGGGAAAGAUAUAAAUGGGUGAAGCUCUACAUUUUAUAUCCUGGAUCUCACCCUGGCCUUAUUUCUCCUCAAUCCUAGCUGUGUAACUUUGAACAAGUUACUUAACAUCUCAAAGUAAGAAUAGAGGUAGUUCAAGAAUAGAUUAUAUCAUUUGUUUAUAUUUAUCUAGGGCUAAGGGAUGAAAACAUUUGAGGGAGGGAGGUUUUGACUUCGUAUUAGGAAGAAUAAUCACAAUUUAGAGCAGCAGCUGGUGCACUAUGGCAGAUGUGAUUUUGCCCGUGGCCUUGUAUGGGCUGUGAAUGAAGCAUCAUUUUUAUACUUUUAAGGAGUUGUUGAAGAAUCAGCAACAGCAGUAGCAACAGAAGUAGCAAUGAGACAUUACUCAUACGGGGCAAACAAAAUCAAAGUAUUUGCUCUCUGGCCCUUUACCAAAGAAGUCUGCCAACCCCGGAGAGCCUUCUCCAAAUGGGAUGACAUCCUUGGGGACUGCAGGAGUCUCUUGUCACUGAAGGAACUUAAGAAGGCACUCAGCUGAUGAUUGCAUAGAUGCAAUUCAAACCCCAGAGGAAAACUGAAAACAUAAACUCUGAUGUCUUCUUCAGCCAUAGCUUUUAUGAAUUUGUGAUUGUCCAUUUCAUACACUGACCUCUCUGCAUUAGAAAAUCCUUCCUUAUGAUGAACAAACUGUUUCUUUGUAAACUUUAUUCAUUCCUGUUCUCUUUUCUGCUGUUUAUUCUUUGUUGUUCAGUGUCUUAGAGCUAUUUUCAGAUGGAUGUUUGGAGAAUAUUCAGGUCUCAGUAAUUUCUGAUGUCUCAGUUCUAUAUUAUUUCAUAUUUUUCAAAGAAUUUUAAUUUAUUUGAAAGGUAAGGGAGGAAGAGAGAGAGAGAGAGAGAGAGAGAGAGAGAGAGAGAGAGAGAAACCACAGCAGCUGGGGGUCCUGGUCCAGGCCAAACCUAGGAUCCAGGAAUUGCAUCUGGAUCUCCCAUGUGAGUGGCAAGGACUGCUGUACUUGGGCCAUCCUCUGCUGUUUUUCCUAGGUGCAAUAACAGGAAGUUGCAUCAGAAACAGAGGAGCUGGAAUUUGAACCGGUACUCUGAUAUGGGCUGUCAACAUCACAAGUAGUGGAUUAACUUGCAACAAUGCUGACCCUUAGAUUGUUCCAUAUUUUAUGGCAAAAAGUUGGAGAGCCACAGUGUUGAUAGAGUGAAGAGAAAAAUAAUAAUAGCAAGAAAAAAAAAACUUGAGGAGAUGCUGAUCUGGAAUAUUUAGAUUUGCAGCCUAAUAAAUGGCACUAAGGCAUAUUAUUGUAAUACCAAAAUUUAUUAAGAUCUAUGUGCAUGACAUAGAAUAUGUAUCAUCUCAUUGAAUACUUACUAAAACACUAUGAAGCACCAGUUAUUAUCACAACAGUAAUUGAACACAAUAACAGAAAUAUCUGUUAUCCAGUGAGAUAUGUUUUGUUAGUAUCUUCACUUCGCAAAUAGGAAAAUAAGACUUAGAAGCAGUGACAAACGUGUAUAAAGUCAGGUAUGUGAGUAGCAACUUCAUAUUCAAGCCUUGGUCUGCUCACUCCAAAUUUGCUCUGCUUAUCCACUCUGGUGCUCAACAUAGCAUAUCUUGUGUUUGUGGCAAUUGUGAGUAAUGUGAACAUCAUUGGUUCAAAACCUCUUGCUCCAUUUUCCUAAUAAUUACAUAAAAUCCAUCUGUCUCAUUUUACAUGUUUCUCCCUCUUUAAACUAUUGGAGGAAGCAAGAUCACUUACACAUUAUCUUCUCUGAAUGCCUGAAAAACAAUGAUUAUUUUUCAAUGUUUAUUUUUGUUAGCUAGCACUAUGUGCAUAGGGAAAUGGAUUGGCAUGAAAUCCAAGAUUCUUUUUUUGCUUUCUUUGGCUAAAGAGCAAUGGUUUUCUGGUCUCUGGGCAAGUGUAAUGAUAUUUCUUACAGAAAAUAUUAUUCUGGAGCUACCUAAAUCUCUUAUAUGUGUUAAGAUUCCACAGUCUCUCCCAUCUGUUUUUCUGCUCUUCUGAGAAUUUGGCUUCUCUGUUUUUCUUUGCUAUUCAGAAGAAAGUUUGUGUCUUUUUGAUGUUAAUUCCCUGAUCUUAAAAGUCAUAAAGAUAUAAACUAAUUGGAUAUCAAGUGUGUUUGGCACACUUAAUAAUUCUUUUUAAAAUUAUGACCAUUCCAUGGUUAUCACGAAUACAGUGAAAUACAAGGUACGCAUAUAGCAAUAGGCUUUCCAUUUCUGUUUUCUAUAAUCAGGAAUAGAAUUUAAUAAGAGUAGAGAAAUCCUUGCAUUGAAAUUAGGGUCACAGAGUGAUGUACAGAUGGAGGAGAUAUUUUAUUUUUGCACAGGUUGUUGGCGGGGGCACAGAGCAAUCAUCUGCUAACUCAGGAGUGUUUCUCCAGUAGUGAAUGCCACCGGAGAUGUUCUUUAUGCAUGUGGGAUAAACUAGGAUCUGAGGAGUCAAGGGGAGCUGCAGGUGAACUCAAAUCAACUAGUUAAACUCACUUUCCCAAAAGCUCUACACUGAGCUUUCUUUCCAAAGGUAGCCCUUGGCCAAGGCAGUCCUUUAGUUCCAGGAUUAGGCCUGGAUGGCAAAACAACCUCUGCACUUGUUUAGCCUGAAGGUAGGGAAGGCUUUGUCAGACAUAGCAAGAAAGACUACAGGGAAUGAAGGAAGUAAAAGUAGAAACAAGGGGCCAGUGCUGUGGCGCAGCAGGUUAAAGCACCAGCCUGCAGUGCCGGCAUCCUAUGUGUGCACCGGUUCAAUCCCCGGCUGCUCCUUUUCCGAUCCAGCUCUCUGCUAUGUCCUGGAAAAGCAGAAGAUGGCCCAAGUCCUUGGGCCCCUGCACCCAUGUGGGAGACCCGGAAGAAGCUCCUGGCUCCUGGCUUCAGAUCAGCUCAGCUCUAGCCAUUGAGGUCAUUUGGGGAAUGAACCAGUGGGUGAAAGACCUUUCUCUCUCUCUGGCUCUACUUCUCUCUGUAACUCUUUCAAAUAAAUAAAUAAAUAAAUCUUAAAAAAAAAACCACAUAUAAAUAAAUGCCUCACGAUUGUCCUGAUGUGGGUGUUUAUAUUGCCUGUAAGGCACAGUGACAUCUCUUCAUGAUUCAAUGCAAUGUUUUCUCUGUGUCUCUGCCUUGAAAAAGAUUGUAUCUGUUUGUGCAACUAGAAAAAUAAUGUGAAUAUAAUGAAUCAAUAUAUCCUUCAACUGUUAAAAUGUGUAACUUAAUUGUGACUAAAGAUGAGAUCUAAUUUGAGUGAAAGACUGGCCCCAGUGAUCAUGAAUAAGAUGAAACUUCAUCACUGAGAAUUCUUCCAAUGUCACCAUCCUUAUUUCUAAUCCUCCAUGUUCUGUGUGCUUGCCAGAGUUAUAAUUAGUUUAGCAGACUGCUGAGCUGCCAAUUUGCAUGAAAUGUCUUGAGGUACGCGUUUCAUUAUAUUUCCUCUGUCCCACCUAGCUUCUUUUCUCUUCCCAGCACCACUUUGCUUUAACCUUACAUAAUCCACUAACAUGAAAACCUGGUAUUACCUUUGUUGAUUCCCUCUCAGUCUGCCUGGUUUGGGAUAAUCACAUUCUCUCCUGUUUCCCAAAUGCUCCAUGCAAAUAUCUAUUAUUGCUUUUAUCAUAUGUUAUUAUAAUUUCCUAUCUGUGUUUUCCUUUUCCAGUUGUUCUGUGGCUUGUUUUUUGUACAGAGAAAAAGUGAUUUUGAAAUGCCACAGACUGAAGUGAGUGCCUUUUCUGAGCAAGACUAGUUCUAACAGACUCAUGUUAAAUUAUGUAAGAAGCAGACACAAAAGGGCACAUAUUGUAUGAUUGCAUUGAUAUGAAAUAUCCAGAAUAGGCAAAUCCAUAGAGACAGAAACAUAUUAUUGGUUGCCAAGGGCUGGGGGAAGAGAAAUAGGAAGCAGUUGCUUACUAAGUAUAUAAUUUCCACUUGGAAUGAUUAGAAAAUCUGGAGUGGUAGGGGCUAAGCAACAUUGCAAGUAUUCUUAAGAUUACUUGAUUGCAUCUUUGGAAAUAGUAGUUAAUUUUUGUGUUAUGUGUAUUUACAACUAUAAGGCACAUAAAAAAAGUAAAUGAAAAUACAAACAACAAUUGUAAAAUUGUGGUAAGGCCAAUUCCCUUAUGUCUCUCUGUGUUUCUCAGAUGUCUGACUACAAAGUCUUGGUUUCUACUACUUCCCUUUUACUACGUUCUGCAGUGUGUUCAUAGCUUACAGUCUCCACUUUAAUUUUCUUCCCUAUAAAAUUCUCUAUCGUAUAAAAAGGAGAAGAAGAUUUUUGUGCUAGGAAAAUGAACUUCUCAGGUACAGUCAAGAAUUGCCCCUUCCCUUUCUAUUCGUAACUCUUUUAAUUUACAAAGCAGUACCAAUUGUUUGCAAAAAUGAAAAAGAGACAAGAAUACAAAGUCAAAUGUAUGUCAUUUAAAAACUCUCCUCUAACUGAGACAAAAAUAACACAACCAAGCUGAGGUUUUGUUAUCCUUCUCCUAUGCACACAAACUGUAUUCCUUAGCCUCUUUUGCAGCUAGGGGAGGUACUGUGGAACUGUGUUCCAGCCAGAGUUGUCAGUGGAUGUAUGUAGUGAUACAACACAUUCUAAGGGCACCUAUAAAAACCAUCAUGUGCUCUCAUUCCCUUCUGCAAUGAUUUCAGAAGCAGUGUAUUUGAGACAAAAGGGUCAAAGGUUAGCAAAAAAACUAGAUUCUUUUGCCAAUGCUUGGAAGCAAGCUGCUAAAAAGAGCCAGGAACUUGCAUAAGACUGUUGAUAUGAAUGAAAUAAAACUUAGGCUGUCAUUGCAUUAAGGUUUUGAGAUUCAGAUUCUAAUUGUUAUCACAGGGAAACCUUUCCUAUUUGGAUUCAUUUACUUCUCAAUUAUAACUCACAGGAGAUAGCUAACUAUGUCAAUUUUAUUUUUCAAUCAAAGCAUGGACUAUUCUAGUGUUAUAUCUACUCUCCCUGUUCCUUUCAAGUAGAUCCAAGAUGGUUGGAAUCACACAUUUACUGUUUUUAGGCCAUGUACUUCCAAAAAUCAAGUAUGGGAAUUUACUUAGGAAUGUAUCUGUAAUAGGAUUCUGGCCAAAGAGAUGUGAGAGGAAGUCUACCAGAAGGUUUCUUGGAAAGAUAUUUCCAUAUGUUAAAAAAAAAUACUGUUCUCCUUUUGCUAAAAAUUGUGAUGGAGCCUAGAGUUGUGGUAUCAUAAGUUGACAAGUACAGUUACUAGGAACAAAAUCUAUAUGCCAAGCAGAAGAUAAAGAUGGUAUUAACAGUCAUUAUUUAUGAAACUUUGGGUGAAUAGGUUAAUUAAUACUUGAAAUAUGUUUUCCAUGAAGUUUUUGAUACAUGUGAUAUAUAAUUUUUUUUGUAUUUAGCCACUGUGAAAUAUUUUUCCUGUUAUUUGCAGCUAAAAGCAACCUAAGACAUAUUUGACAUUUUAGCUGAUUCCAGUGAUUUAAAUAUUUCAAACAAUAUUUCACCAAAUGUCAUGGUACGUUGAUUAGUAAUUAUAUUCAUAAUUCUGUUUACAGUCUUAUUUCAGGUACACAGAGGAUAAGCAUUUAAAUUUUCUGGAGCUUAUACCAUAUUUUCCUCCAAAAAUAGUGGCCUUCCUUUGGCUUUUAAAUCUGCCAAUCUGGAAAUUAUAAAUGUAUUUGAUUUGGGAAAUCUGACAGUCAAAAUAAU